GACGAACGCUGGCGGCGUGCUUAACACAUGCAAGUCGAACGGAAAGGCCCUGCUUUUGUGGGGUGCUCGAGUGGCGAACGGGUGAGUAACACGUGAGUAACCUGCCCUUGACUUUGGGAUAACUUCAGGAAACUGGGGCUAAUACCGGAUAGGAGCUCCUGCUGCAUGGUGGGGGUUGGAAAGUUUCGGCGGUUGGGGAUGGACUCGCGGCUUAUCAGCUUGUUGGUGGGGUAGUGGCUUACCAAGGCUUUGACGGGUAGCCGGCCUGAGAGGGUGACCGGCCACAUUGGGACUGAGAUACGGCCCAGACUCCUACGGGAGGCAGCAGUGGGGAAUAUUGCACAUGGGCGGAAGCCUGAUGCAGCAACGCCGCGUGCGGGAUGACGGCCUUCGGGUUGUAAACCGCUUUCGCCUGUGACGAAGCGUGAGUGACGGUAAUGGGUAAAGAAGCACCGGCCAACUACGUG
rnacentral:rRNA from 1 species